rnacentral:rRNA from 1 species
GACGAACGCUGGCGGCGUGCUUAACACAUGCAAGUCGAGCGGUAAGGCCCUUUCGGGGGUACACGAGCGGCGAACGGGUGAGUAACACGUGGGUGACCUGCCCUUAGCUCUGGGAUAAGCCUGGGAAACUGGGUCUAAUACCGGAUAUGACCUCAUGACUCAUGUUGUGGGGUGGAAAGCCUUGUGCGGCUAGGGAUGGGCCCGCGGUCUAUCAGCUUGUUGGUGGGGUAAUUGCCUACCAAGGCGACGACGGGUAGCCGGCCUGAGAGGGCGACCGGCCACACUGGGACUGAGACACGGCCCAGACUCCUACGGGAGGCAGCAGUGGGGAAUCUUGCGCAAUGGGCGAAAGCCUGACGCAGCGACGCCGCGUGAGGGAUGACGGCCUUC